CCUACGGGUGGCAGCAGUGAGGAAUAUUGGUCAAUGGGCGCGAGCCUGAACCAGCCAAGUAGCGUGAAGGAUGACUGCCCUACGGGUUGUAAACCUCUUUUAUAAAGGAAUAAAGUGAGGCACGUGUGCCUCUUUGAAUGUACCCUAUGAAUAAGGAUCGGCUAACUCCGUGCCAGCAGCCGCGGUAAUACGGAGGAUUCGAGCGUUAUCCGGAUUUAUUGGGUUUAAAGGGUGCGUAGGCCGGUUGUUAAGUCAGCUGUGAAAGUUUGCGGCUCAACCGUAAAAUUGCAGUUGAUACUGGCAGUCUUGAGUGCGGUAGAGGUAGGCGGAAUGCGUGGUGUAGCGGUGAAAUGCAUAGAUAUCACGAAGAACUCCGAGUGCGAAGGCAGCAUACUGGAGUGCAACUGACGCUGAUGCACGAAAGUGUGGGUAUCGAACAGGAUUAGAUACCCGGGUAGUC
rnacentral:rRNA from 1 species